GCGGUUUGUCGCGUCUGCUGUGAAAACCCGAGGCUCAACCUCGGGCCUGCAGUGGGUACGGGCAGACUAGAGUGCGGUAGGGGAGAUUGGAAUUCCUGGUGUAGCGGUGGAAUGCGCAGAUAUCAGGAGGAACACCAAUGGCGAAGGCAGAUCUCUGGGCCGUAACUGACGCUGAGGAGCGAAAGCAUGGGGAGCGAACAGGAUUAGAUACCCUGGUAGUCCAUGCCGUAAACGUUGGGAACUAGAUGUGGGGACCAUUCCACGGUCUCCGUGUCGCAGCUAACGCAUUAAGUUCCCCGCCUGGGGAGUACGGCCGCAAGGCUAAAACUCAAAGGAAUUGACGGGGGCCCGCACAAGCGGCGGAGCAUGCGGAUUAAUUCGAUGCAACGCGAAGAACCUUACCAAGGCUUGACAUAUACCGGAAACGGCUGGAAACAGUCGCCCCGCAAGGUCGGUAUACAGGUGGUGCAUGGUUGUCGUCAGCUCGUGUCGUGAGAUGUUGGGUUAAGUCCCGCAACGAGCGCAACCCUCGUCCUAUGUUGCCAGCACGUAAUGGUGGGAACUCAUGGGAUACUGCCGGGGUCAACUCGGAGGAAGGUGGGGAUGACGUCAAAUCAUCAUGCCCCUUAUGUCUUGGGCUUCACGCAUGCUACAAUGGCCGGUACAAAGGGCUGCGAUACCGCAAGGUGG
rnacentral:rRNA from 1 species